rnacentral:rRNA from 1 species
AGUGUAUGUGGUGGAUGCCUUGGCGAUCACAGGCGAUGAAGGACGUAGUAGCUUGCGAUAAGCUGCGGGGAGCCGGCAAACGGGCUUUGAUCCGCAGAUUUCCGAAUGGGGGAACCCACCGACGUAGGUCGGUAUCACGUACUGAAUACAUAGGUGCGUGAGGCGAACGGAGCGAACUGAAACAUCUAAGUAGCUCCAGGAAAAGAAAUCAACCGAGAUUGCGAAAGUAGCGGCGAGCGAAAUUGCAGCAGCCCAGUGUUCUGAUAGCACGAACGACAGCAGAAGGGUCUGGAAAGGCCUGCUAUAGAGGGUGAUAGCCCCGUAUGCGAAAUCGAACGUGUGGUACUAAGGAACCGAUAAGUAGGGCGGGACACGUGACAUCCUGUCUGAAGAUGGGGGGACCAUCCUCCAAGGCUAAAUACUCGUGAUCGACCGAUAGUGAACCAGUACUGUGAAGGAAAGGCGAAAAGAACCCCGGGAGGGGAGUGAAAUAGAACCUGAAACCGCAUACAUACAAACAGUAGGAGCCCCUGCAGUGGGGUGACUGCGUACCUUUUGCAUAAUGGGUCAGCGACUUACGUUUUGUGGCGAGCUUAACCGAGUAGGGGAGGCGUAGCGAAAGCGAGUUCGAAUAGAGCGAAGAGUCUCAAGGCGUAGACCCGAAACCAGAUGAGCUAUCCAUGGCCAGGUUGAAGGUGUGGUAACACACACUGGAGGACCGAACCGACUAGUGUUGCAAAAUUAGCGGAUGAGCUGUGGAUAGGGGUGAAAGGCUUAACAAAUCUGGAGAUAGCUGGUUCUCCCCGAAAACUAUUGAGGUAGUGCCUCGUGUAUUGCUCCAGGGGGUAGAGCACUGUUAUGGCUAGGGGGACAUGGCGUCUUACCAAACCAUGGCAAACUCCGAAUACUUGGAAGUAAGAGCACGGGAGACAGAGCACCGGGUGCUAACGUCCGGACUCAAGAGGGAAACAACCCAGACCGCCGUUUAAGGUCCCAAAUAUUGACUAAGUGGAAAACGAAGUGUGAAGGCUAAGACAGUCAGGAAGUUGGCUUAGAAGCAGCCAUCCUUCAAAGAAAGCGUAAUAGCUCACUGAUCGAGUCCUCAUGCGCGGAAGAUGUAACGGGGCUAAGUCAAUAACCGAAAGCGCGGAUUUGCAUGAAAAUGCAAGUGGUAGGGGAGCGUUCUGUAAGCCUGCGAAGGUGGUUCGAGAGGACUGCUGGAGGUAUCAGAAGUGCGAAUGCUGACAUGAGUAACGUUAAAGCGGGUGAAAAGCCCGCUCGCCGUAAGCCCAAGGUUUCCUGCUCUACGUUCAUCGGAGCAGGGUGAGUCGGCCCCUAAGGCCAGGCUGAGAAGCGUAGUCGAUGGGAAGCAGAUUAAUAUUUCUGCACCAUGUGCAAGUGCGAUGGGGGGACGGAGUGCGAAAGAUCAUCCGGGUGUUGGAUGUCCCGGUUUGUGAGUGUAGAAGGCCGACAGGCAAAUCCGUCGGCGGAUCUUCGAGACAAAGCAUCGAGGUUCUACGGAACCGAAGUGAUCGGAAGUGCUUCCAGGAAAAGCCUCUAAGCUUCAGCUUGUACAUGACCGUACCGUAAACCGACACUGGUGGGCGAGUUGAAUAUACUCAGGCGCUUGAGAGAACUCGGGAGAAGGAACUCGGCAAAUUGACACCGUAACUUCGGGAUAAGGUGUGCCUUUGUAGCGUGAAGAGAGAAACACUCGGAGCGUGAAGAGGCCUCAGAGAAUCGGUGGCUGCAACUGUUUAUUAAAAACACAGCACUCUGCAAAGACGAAAGUCGACGUAUAGGGUGUGAUGCCUGCCCGGUGCUGGAAGAUUAAGUGAUGGGGUGAGAGCUCCUGAUCGAAGUCCCAGUAAACGGCGGCCGUAACUAUAACGGUCCUAAGGUAGCGAAAUUCCUUGUCGGGUAAGUUCCGACCUGCACGAAUGGCAUAAUGAUGGCCACACUGUCUCCUCCCGAGACUCAGUGAAGUUGAAAUGUUUGUGAUGAUGCAAUCUCCCCGCGGCUAGACGGAAAGACCCCAUGAACCUUUACUGUAGCUUUGCAUUGGACUUUGAACCGAUUUGUGUAGGAUAGGCGGGAGGCAGAGAAAGCGCAACGCCAGUUGUGCCGGAGCCGACGUUGAAAUACCGCCCUGAUUUGUUUGAGGUUCUAACCGCGACCCGUAAGCCGGGUCCGGGACCGUGCAUGGCAGGCAGUUUGACUGGGGCGGUCUCCUCCUAAAGGGUAACGGAGGAGUACAAAGGUACGCUAGGUACGGUCGGAAAUCGUGCUGAUAGUGCAAAGGCAAAAGCGU